UCUAGAACGUUCCCAUGUAUUUCCAUUGUUAAAGCGGUCUAUAGACCAUCUUGUCAAUAUAAUAGAUAAUCUUCGACACAACAAAACGCCUUGAGAAUGUGACGCAAUCAGAAAUUGGCCCGCUGUUAGUUACCCUCCCUUCUUAGCAUCCGACUUGAUUUUACGGCGUCACUGUCCUUUGCCAUACCCCUGACGGCAGAGACCGACUCGGCUAAUCUCGCCCAUCCUCUCUUUUUGGUCUCUGCAGUGACCCCGGAGUUAUCAAGUCUCCCCAACAGCAACCUUUUCCUGGCUGCUAUUUCCUCCACCGUCACUUCAAGCUCUCGCUUGCUGAACCUCAACCGUCCACCAAAGUCUGUUCUCCUGAGCUGCCCUGUGAUCUGCCAUUCCAAAAUACAGUGAGCAGUUACCUGCAAAUAAUUGUAUCAAUCCACACUGUCUUGUCUUUGGAUCUCUUAACCUGUCCCAGGAAAACACAACUGGACCAGUGGCACAGGAGUGGUUUAAAGAUGGGCUGGAAUGGUGGCCUCUUUAUAUAAAGACAGGAAUACAAUUAUUGACUGUCAAGAAAAGGUCAACUCCAAACCCCCACAAAAAGCUGUAAGCAGUUUGCUCUUCCAAACAGGUCAUUCCAAAAAGGCUCAGUGUACAGCCCUUCUGAUGUUUGGAUGUCCGGAUGAUGUUCUGAUAUUGUUAAUAUCACUACACAUACCCACUAGUUGGUGUCUGGCACUGAUAUCUUCAUUCAUGCUGAAUGGCGCCAUGUGUUUUAACAGGCUUCUAUUUACAGAAUCAUUGUAAAGCGGUAGGAUGUAAUUUGUAACAUCAGACCUUAACACUUCAGAAAAUUUAACAAGUGAGCACAUUGUUUGACUAUGAAUUUCUCCACAUUUUAAUUUGUUUCGUCUACAUUGCAGCAAGUGUUUUAAAAUGUGUGGGGUUUUUUUGCAUGAUGAAUGGUUUGCCAUAAGUAUUCAGCCUGCUUUCAAUUGCAAAGUGGUAAGCAAGUGUAAACAAGUUAAUGAAUUGCCUGACUGGGCUGAUGGGACAGUGGAUGUGCAGGGAUUUCUCAGAUCAGAAAACCAGUAGCCUGUCUACCCAUUGCUAUGCUUGUUUUGACCAACCCACUAUAAAUUCUAAUAAUGAUUCAUUUACAUAUUUAGACCCUCAUUGUCCUCAUCACCCCCGCUGUCCUCGGAGGAGGAAGAAUACCCACCCCCAUGUUCAUCUUCACCUCUGCCUCCACCAACCCCUUUUACAAAAUAUAGGCGCCCCUUACAGAGAUGGUUUAUAAAAGUUAACUCACCAGGCAUUCUACUACCAACUGACCACUUACUUACCCUAAAGUAAACUUAACCCUAACCAUUUGCAGUGUUGAUAGUUUGAGUAUCUAUACGGUUUAGAAUAUUUAGGGACUGGUCCAAAUACAGUGUGAUCAACAACAUGAAUGAAUGAAUGAUUGUUCACCUCAAGCCACAAGACCCAGUUGGAGACCAGAGAUGGAGACGAGCAGCGUCAGUCGGGCAUCAAGGGCCGACCUUUUCAGGAUGUAAGUGUCCCUUACAGAUGGUUUAUAAAAGUUAACUCACUAGGCCUUCCACUACCAACUGACUAACCACUUACUUACCAUAAAGUAAACUUAAUCGUAGAGUAUUUAGGGAUCUGUCCAAAUACAUUGUGAACAACAUGAUUAUUUUUAACAAUUAUUUUUGUUCUCCUUAAGCCACCACGCCCAUGUAUUUAACUAGGCAAGUCAGUUAAGAACACAUUCUUAUUUUCAGUGACUGCCUAGGAACAGUAGGUUAACUGCCUUGUUCA